rnacentral:rRNA from 1 species
UGGGGAAUAUUGCACAAUGGGCGCAAGCCUGAUGCAGCCAUGCCGCGUGUAUGAAGAAGGCCUUCGGGUUGUAAAGUACUUUCAGCGAGGAGGAAGGCGUUGUGGUUAAUAACCGCAGCGAUUGACGUUACUCGCAGAAGAAGCACCGGCUAACUCCGUGCCAGCAGCCGCGGUAAUACGGAGGGUGCAAGCGUUAAUCGGAAUUACUGGGCGUAAAGCGCACGCAGGCGGUCUGUCAAGUCGGAUGUGAAAUCCCCGGGCUCAACCUGGGAACUGCAGCCGAAACUGGCAGGCUAGAGUCUUGUAGAGGGGGGUAGAAUUCCAGGUGUAGCGGUGAAAUGCGUAGAGAUCUGGAGGAAUACCGGUGGCGAAGGCGGCCCCCUGGACAAAGACUGACGCUCAGGUGCGAAAGCGUGGGGAGCAAACA